UUUCCGUAGGUGAACCUGCGGAAGGAUCAUUAUAGAGGUCCUGCCCUAACGGGUAUACUUCCAACACUGUGUAUUUCUAUUUUGUUGCUUCGGCAGGCCGCCUAGGCUUCGGCUUGGCCAUGGUCUUCGGCUCGUGAGCGGCUGUCAGAAGACUCUCUAAUUCUUGAUAUAAUUGUAGUUUAAGUAAAAACUUAAUAAGUUAAAACUUUCAACAACGGAUCUCUUGGUUCUG
rnacentral:misc_RNA from 1 species